UCUCCGUAGGUGAACCUGCGGAGGGAUCAUUACCGAGUGAGGGUCCUUGUGGCCCGACCUCCAACCCUUUGUGAACCAAACUUGUUGCUUCGGGGGCGACCCUGCCGACGACUUCGUCGCCGGGCGCCCCCGGAGGUCUUCCAAACACUGCAUCUUUGCGUCGGAGUUUAAACAAAUUAAACAAAACUUUCAACAACGGAUCUCUUGGUUCUGGCAUCGAUGAAGAACGCAGC
rnacentral:misc_RNA from 1 species